rnacentral:lncRNA from 1 species
UUUUUCUUAUCUCAAAAAAAUGAUAAUGUUGCAUGUAUUUUCUCUGUCUUAUCAAUAAAAUAGGCAACCAGGCAUCAGAAGAAAUUAAGGAAAACGAUAUUGAGGAGGUGUGCUUAGGAUCAUCAAUCCUUCUGGUUGAAAGUGGAGAAGAAAAAGGAGAAGGAGAAGAAAAAGGAGAAGAAAGAGAGAAAUCAUGUGCAGAACAAAAUUCAGCUACUGUAAAGCCAGAAGAGGAAUGUGAAUCUUUUGAUUUAUCUUCUGUGUCUUGGGUUUCAAUUUCUCGAAAGAAGCGAAAACCACAGAAAAAGAGAACAUCUGCUUUAUUUGAAGAAAAUCGGGAAGCUCAGCAGCAUAACAGGAGAAAAAAUAAAAGGGAAUUGGAGAAAACAGUUAUGCCAAUUCCAGUGCAGGAACUAAAUACAAUAUUAUAUGAUGUUGGUGAAACAAGUUUUGAUGGAUUUCAAAAUGCUUCAAGAAUUAAUCAAGUAAUGGCUGUGGAGAAUGAUAAAUCACAAUUGGUUAGGUCUUUUGUUACCUCCCAUGAAACAAGGAUGCAAAUGCAUUCUAAAAAUAAAUAUAAAGAUUUAGCAGGAAUACAUGACAGAACUUACCCAAUAAGUAGAAACCAAGCAAAAGACCAUAUACCUUUACUAGAAGCAGAGCAAAAGUCAUCAGUCCAGAUACAACCUGUAAAAAAAGCAAAACAAAGCUCAUCACAGAAUAAGUUGACCACACAGACAAAAGUGCAAGAUGAAAAACAAGAGAGUAGUGUUUUGGCUCUACCAUCAAAGGACUGCACACAAUCUAAGAAUACAGAUAUUUAUUCUGACAAUUCAGUUUCUAUGCCAUGCUUUGUUCCUGUAGCUCAUAAUACACUGGAUAAAAAGUUACAGUUACCAUUCAAAAAACAAUCAGGGACUCAAAAGAAAAAGAAAAGAUCCGCUGUUGUACGUAUGAGGAACAAGAACAGGCAAUUUGUUUCAAAGGGGAGCCUUGAAGAUGGUCAUGGAGAGGAACAGUUAGAUAAAAAGAAGAUUCUUCAUCCUUUUAAGCUAAGAGUUGAGUUAAAGAGAGCAAAACCUCAAAAAGUAAAAGAGACUUCUUUGCCAAAGUCUCAGAAUAAUGUAUUAUAUCAAGAAGAUUCUUGUGAGCAGCAUGUGACAAAAAAACAUUUAAAUGUUUCAGUAACACCACAAAACAAUGAAGAAUUAUCACAGUAAGUUAUGAUUGUACAAUUAUGUUUUAAUACUG